GGGCGAGAGACCGAUAGCGA
rnacentral:snRNA from 1 species